ensembl:snoRNA Gm25496 predicted gene, 25496
CCUGCCCCUAAGGUGGUGCAGAUGUGGCUGCUGUGUCAGUAGGUGGCAGAGAGAAGAAAUGCUGUACCUAGACUCAGUAUUCUAAUCUAUGAAUAUCAGGAUGAUUAGUAGCCUAACAUU